rnacentral:misc_RNA from 1 species
GCCAUCCACCAGAAUCCAUCCACAGAGCCUCUGUUGUAAUCGCAUUUUCCCAAUUUCCAGAUGGACAGAAGGCACCUGAGACAACAGGUCACCUACGUGAGAAAGUCACUCUUUGAUCAGGGCUACCUUGAUGAUCAAUUCAUGCAACUUGAGGAUUUGCAAGAUGAUGCAAACCCUAAUUUUGUAGAGGAAAUUGUAGCUUCCUUUUAUAGUGAUUCAGCAAGAUUGAUCCAGAAUAUAGAACAGGCAUUAGUGAGCAGGCCUGUUGAUUUUGGCAAGCUAGAUGAUUGCAUGCACCAGUUCAAGGGAAGCAGCUCAAGCAUUGGAGCUAAAAAGGUGAACAUGGAAUGCUCACAGUUCAGGGAAUACUGUUGUGCAGGAAAUAUUGAGGGAUGCAUUAGGACUUUCCAACAAAUCAAGCAAGAGCAUGCCACUUUGAGGAAGAAGCUCGAAAACUUUUUCCAGUUGGCAAGACAAGCUGGACAAGCUGAGACUGCCUAAAG